rnacentral:rRNA from 2 species
UUGAGUGAGUGGCGAACUGGUGAGUAACACGUGGGAAACCUGCCCAGAAGCGGGGGAUAACACCUGGAAACAGAUGCUAAUACCGCAUAACAACUUGGACCGCAUGGUCCGAGCUUGAAAGAUGGCUUCGGCUAUCACUUUUGGAUGGUCCCGCGGCGUAUUAGCUAGAUGGUGGGGUAACGGCUCACCAUGGCAAUGAUACGUAGCCGACCUGAGAGGGUAAUCGGCCACAUUGGGACUGAGACACGGCCCAAACUCCUACGGGAGGCAGCAGUAGGGAAUCUUCCACAAUGGACGAAAGUCUGAUGGAGCAACGCCGCGUGAGUGAAGAAGGGUUUCGGCUCGUAAAACUCUGUUGUUAAAGAAGAACAUAUCUGAGAGUAACUGUUCAGGUAUUGACGGUAUUUAACCAGAAAGCCACGGCUAACUACGUGCCAGCAGCCGCGGUAAUACGUAGGUGGCAAGCGUUGUCCGGAUUUAUUGGGCGUAAAGCGAGCGCAGGCGGUUUUUUAAGUCUGAUGUGAAAGCCUUCGGCUCAACCGAAGAAGUGCAUCGGAAACUGGGAAACUUGAGUGCAGAAGAGGACAGUGGAACUCCAUGUGUAGCGGUGAAAUGCGUAGAUAUAUGGAAGAACACCAGUGGCGAAGGCGGCUGUCUGGUCUGUAACUGACGCUGAGGCUCGAAAGUAUGGGUAGCAAACAGGAUUAGAUACCCUGGUAGUCCAUACCGUAAACGAUGAAUGCUAAGU